ACGGAAGGCAGCAGUGAGGAAUAUUGGUCAAUGGGCGGAAGCCUGAACCAGCCAAGUCGCGUGAGGGAAGAAGGUCCUAUGGAUUGUAAACCUCUUUAGCCGGGGAGCAAUAAGCGCUAUGUAUAGCGUGAUGAGAGUACCUGGAGAAUAAGCAUCGGCUAACUCCGUGCCAGCAGCCGCGGUAAUACGGAGGAUGCGAGCGUUAUCCGGAUUUAUUGGGUUUAAAGGGUGCGCAGGCGGUCGAUUAAGUCAGUGGUCAAAUCGUGAGGCUCAACCUCAUCCGCCAUUGAUACUGGUUGACUUGAUUUCGGUCGAGGCAGGCGGAAUUCGCCGUGUAGCGGUGAAAUGCAUAGAUAUGGCGAAGAACUCCGAUUGCGUAGGCAGCUUACCAGACCGACAAUGACGCCCAUGCACGAAAGUGCGGGGAUCGAACAGGAUUAGAUACCCUGGUA
rnacentral:rRNA from 1 species